rnacentral:hammerhead_ribozyme from 1 species
ACCUAACUGACGAGUCCCAAAUAGAACGAAAUGCACGUUUUUUCAU